GAUGAAGAACGCAGCGAAAUGCGAUAAGUAAUGUGAAUUGCAGAAUUCAGUGAAUCAUCGAAUCUUUGAACGCACAUUGCGCCCGCCAGUAUUCUGGCGGGCAUGCCUGUCCGAGCGUCAUUUCAACCCUCGAACCCCUCCGGGGGGUCGGCGUUGGGGAUCGGCCCCUCACCGGGCCGCCCCCGAAAUCCAGUGGCGGUCUCGCCGCAGCCUCUCCUGCGCAGUAGUUUGCACACUCGCACCGGGAGCGCGGCGCGGCCACAGCCGUAAAACACCCCAAACUCUGAAAUGUUGACCUCGGAUCAGGUAGGAAUACCCGCUGAACUUAAGCAUAUCAAUAACGGAGGA
rnacentral:misc_RNA from 1 species